GGAGCCGUAAGCGGCGAUGACCCGCCCAUUCCCAACUCGGGCGCCAAGGGAGGGCGGCGAGCCAGUGGCGCGACCGGCUUGCGGCCUC
rfam:Marinithermus hydrothermalis DSM 14884, complete genome.